CCCCUCACAAGCACAGCAUUAUAGGCGGUGUCCAGAUGCCCUUCUUGUUCCCACAAACAAGCAGAAAAGUACACUGUAGAGUUAGGGCCUACCGCACUCUAUAGGCUCCACAAACCGGAUCGUACCUCUCGGCGCUCACACCGGAGGACACAGGAUUGUACCCUCACAAUGCCAGAGAGCACACUGCUGUGAUACAAUGGGCCAAAAAUCCCAGAAAGCCCA